UGCGUCUGGCGGAAGUGGCGCUGCGUGUGACGCCGCCGGCGGGGGGGCGGGACCUGGGGCGGAGAGCGGUUCGCGCGCUUCGGGCCUAGUCCGGACCUGCCGCCGCUGCCGCCAUAUUCCCGUGGCGUCUUUCUUACUUUGUCCAUUCUCCGGGCUCGAGAGCUUCCUUCGGAGCCAUGUCAGAAGGAGUGGACUUGAUUGAUAUAUACGCUGAUGAGGAGUUCAACCAGGACCCAGAGUUCAACAACACAGAUCAGAUUGACCUGUAUGAUGAUGUGCUGACAGCCACCUCACAACCCUCAGAUGACAGAAGUAGCAGCACUGAGCCACCGCCUCCUGUUCGCCAGGAGCCUUCUCCCAAGCCCAACAACAAGACUCCUGCAAUUCUGUAUACCUACAGUGGCCUGCGGAACAGACGAGCUGCAGUCUAUGUGGGCAGCUUUUCCUGGUGGACCACAGACCAGCAGCUGAUCCAGGUUAUUCGCUCUAUAGGAGUCUAUGAUGUGGUGGAGUUGAAAUUUGCAGAGAAUCGAGCAAAUGGCCAGUCCAAAGGGUAUGCUGAGGUGGUGGUAGCCUCUGAAAACUCUGUCCACAAAUUGUUGGAACUUCUUCCAGGAAAAGUUCUUAAUGGAGAAAAAGUGGAUGUGAGGCCGGCCACCCGGCAGAACCUAUCACAGUUUGAGGCACAGGCUCGGAAACGUGAGUGCGUCCGAGUCCCAAGAGGGGGAAUACCUCCACGUGCCCACUCCCGAGAGUCUAGUGAUUCUGCAGAUGGACGGGCCACACCCUCUGAGAACCUUGUACCCUCAUCCGCUCGUGUGGAUAAGCCCCCCAGCGUGCUGCCCUACUUCAAUCGCCCUCCUUCAGCCCUUCCCUUGAUGGGUCUGCCCCCACCCCCAAUUCCACCCCCACCACCUCUCUCCUCAAGCUUUGGGGUUCCUCCCCCUCCUCCUGGCAUCCACUACCAGCAUCUCAUGCCUCCCCCUCCUCGAUUACCUCCUCAUCUGGCAGUACCUCCCCCUGGGGCCAUCCCACCUGCCCUUCACCUCAAUCCAGCCUUCUUCCCCCCACCAAAUGCUACAGUGGGGCCUCCACCAGAUACUUACAUGAAGGCCUCUACACCCUAUAACCACCAUGGCAGCCGAGAUUCGGGCCCUCCGCCCUCUACAGUGAGUGAAGCUGAAUUUGAAGAGAUCAUGAAGCGAAACAGAGCAAUUUCCAGCAGUGCCAUUUCCAAAGCAGUAGCUGGAGCCAGUGCAGGGGAUUACAGUGAUGCGAUUGAGACGCUGCUCACAGCCAUUGCGGUUAUCAAACAGUCCCGGGUCGCCAAUGAUGAGCGUUGCCGUGUCCUCAUCUCCUCUCUUAAGGACUGUCUUCAUGGCAUUGAGGCCAAGUCCUACAGUGUGGGUGCCAGCGGGAGCUCUUCCAGGAAAAGACAUCGGUCCAGGGAGAGGUCGCCUAGCCGGUCCCGGGAGAGCAGCAGGAGGCACCGGGAUCUGCUUCAUAAUGAAGAUCGGCAUGACGACUACUUCCAAGAAAGGAACCGGGAGCAUGAGAGACACCGGGAUAGAGAGCGGGACCGGCACCACUGAGAAAGGUGGGAAGAAGCUCCGUUCCUGGCUGAUUUAUUCCCCUUCCCCUUAAGGAGUCUGGUUGGAAGCAAAUGUUUUUUUAAUGGACUUGCAUCUCCUCACCUUGAUCAGGACUAAAGGACGGAGGCCGCUCCACCCCUUUCCCUUCUUCCAAACCCCUAACUCCCUCCAGACACCCAGGGAAUACCCUCUGCCCUACAGGAUUGAAGAUUGCUUGGCAGCCCUCCCAACCCCACACCUUCUGUUUGCCAGGGGGAAAGAACCUAAAGACUCAUGUGGUUGGGAGGGGUGGCAGACAGGAAGAAAACACCUGGUCCAGGCCCCUGGUCUCCAUAGAGAAUGGUGCUUUGUCCAAGGAAACGAACGAGUUUCUGAUUCUCCAGGAGCAGUUUAGUGGUGAGGUUGAUGGGAAGACUUCUUUCCCAAGGAAAAUGGAUCCUCCAUGUGAGGUCUAGGAGAGUGACUGGGUGUGCCAAGAUAUGCCCAGGUUCUCCCUCCGCACUAGAUGUGAUGGGGCCAAGAGGGUCCACAUCCCUUGCUAACAUACCACUUGUUUGUUUAACUCCUUUACCUUCUCAGCCCUUUGAGGAGGGACCAUGAGAACAGAAGUGACCUUAGGAAAAGGUACUUCUGUUCUUGCUUUCCCUUGCACAUAUUGACGGUUUCUUUCCCUGACUUCUCAGAGGGCUGAACCCUUUCCACUCCCUACUGCCCAGCCGCCUCAGUGGACUUGCCCCUCCUAGGCAAGGGUGGCCCCUGAGGUCGCUUUCUGCUGGGAAGCCUGGCAGAGCCAAUUACCACCCUCUGCUGCUUAGUGCUUGGUUGCCUGUUGCAAUAACCAGCUCUAUUAGGUGUUCCCUUUCCCAGGGGCUUUUCCAUUUAACACGUGGAGCCCUUUCCCCAUGAAGGCUACUUCCUUGUUUUAGAGGAAGGCACUGCCAUUGGGAGAUAGGGAUUAUCAGGACCUCAGUAAUGAAGACCCUUUGCAAAGUUACCAGGAGGGGUGAGGAAAGAGGCAAGUUGGGCAGAAUAUGGUCUACUUCCGUAGGCUUUUCUUUUUUCAGGUUUGAUGUAAGCAUGGGCUUGCAUUUCCCAGGUACAUACUUUUACUUAUUGUGGGAUAACCUGGCACUUACAGUAGGCAGGUAAAGUCACAAAUUGGUGUCUUUCCAUCUUUUGACUAUUGACUUAAUAACUCCCCUCGCUCUGCCUGGAGGUACUUCCUGCCUCUGAUAAGGAGGAAAUGGAGCCUGACCAGUGAACUCAGCUCAAAGUUCUAAGGACCAGCACUCUGGGGGCCAUUUUCUACACAGGCAACUGGAAUUCCUUUUCCUAUAACAUCCAAAUUGUGAUGUGGUUACUGCUGAAGGAGGAGGCAGCAGCAGGGUCCUGCAGUACCCUUGGGGUGAUGCUACUUCUGCAUGCAUCUGCGGGGCAAGUGACAGCUAACGUGAAGAGACGUGGCACGUGAGAUGAGACUUGGCAUGUGAGACGUAGGGUCGCUGGAGACCCUUCUGGUUCAGAGGGGAGAGACUGAAUUGGACUAAACGCUUCCUCUGUUCCCAGCACGUUUCUGACACAGCCCUCAGGCACUGAGGGAGUCCCCCAGGGUUGGAGAGGCACAUUCCCUUGGGACAGAGGCUACGAGUUGUAGCUUUUUUCUCCCUGUCCCCCAACCCUAUCCCUACCUCCACUUCAGAACAUGGCACCCCACCCAAUCAGCCAAGUGUUAAGUGAUGUGCUUAUCCUCAAGAGCAACUCCGGGUGUCUUUUUAAAAUGUAGAGAAAACCAAGUAAGGUGACAGUUUAAGGGGAAUAAAAUAUAGAAUACCAGAAAAGCUGUUUACCCGGAGAAUUUCUUUUCUCUCCCCAUUUUUGUUUUGUUUCUACUCAAUGACACAAUUUUUAGUUUUAUUUCCUGAUAGCAAAAGGGAAAAAAAACCAUCCCCUACCCCCCCCCCCAAAGGCUAAGGCCCCCGUCCCCCUGUUGUCGGUGAUUUGUUUGUCUUUCUGAUAGGUUGAAAAUUGUGUAAUAAACUUGAUGACGCUGUCAAUCUUUUAUACUGCAUUGUAUUUUUUUUCCUUUUGUAACAAACUAUUUUUAAAUAAUAAAUGGGGUGUGAGCUGUUUUGUGGA